CCUACGGGCGGCAGCAGUGAGGAAUAUUGGUCAAUGGGCGAGAGUCUGAACCAGCCAAGUCGCGUGAGGGAGUACUGCCCUAUGGGUUGUAAACCUCUUUUGUCGGGGAGCAAAAGCCGGACGUGUCCGGCUGUGAGAGUACCCGAAGAAAAAGCAUCGGGAAACUCCGUGCCAGCAGGCGCGGUAAUACGGAGGAUGCGAGCGUUAUCCCGAUUUUUUGGGUUUAAAGGGGUCGCAGGCGGGUUUUUAAGGCAGCGGUAAAAUCGUGGGGUUCAACCCCAUCCAGCCGUUGAAACUGGAGAUCUAGAGUGUGCGAGAGGUAUGCGGAAUGCGUGGUGUAGCGGUGAAAUGCAUAGAUAUCACGCAGAACCCCGAUUGCGAAGGCAGCAUACCGGUGCACAACUGACGCUCAGGCACGAAAGCGUGGGUAUCGAACAGGAUUAGAUACCCCUGUAGUC
rnacentral:rRNA from 1 species